GAUGAACGCUGGCGGCGUGCCUAAUACAUGCAAGUCGAGCGAACGGACGAGAAGCUUGCUUUUCUGAUGUUAGCGGCGGACGGGUGAGUAACACGUGGAUAACCUACCUAUAAGACUGGGAUAACUUCGGGAAACCGGAGCUAAUACCGGAUAAUAUUUUGAACCGCAUGGUUCAUAAGUGAAAGACGGUCUUGCUGUCACUUAUAGAUGGAUCCGCGCUGCAUUAGCUAGUUGGUAAGGUAACGGCUUACCAAGGCAACGAUGCAUAGCCGACCUGAGAGGGUGAUCGGCCACACUGGAACUGAGACACGGUCCAGACUCCUACGGGAGGCAGCAGUAGGGAAUCUUCUGCAAUGGGCGAAAGCCUGACGGAGCAACGCCGCGUGAGUGAUGAAGGUCUUCGGAUCGUAAAACUCUGUUAUUAGGGAAGAACAUAUGUGUAAGUAACUGUGCACAUCUUGACGGUACCUAAUCAGAAAGCCACGGCUAACUACGUG
rnacentral:rRNA from 1 species